UGCGUAGGCGGGUCUUUAAGUCAGGGGUGAAAUCCUGGAGCUCAACUCCAGAACUGCCUUUGAUACUGAAGAUCUUGAGUUCGGGAGAGGUGAGUGGAACUGCGAGUGUAGAGGUGAAAUUCGUAGAUAUUCGCAAGAACACCAGUGGCGAAGGCGGCUCACUGGCCCGAUACUGACGCUGAAGCACGAAAGCUGGGGAGCAAACA
rnacentral:rRNA from 1 species